GACGAACGCUGGCGGCGUGCUUAACACAUGCAAGUCGAACGGAAAGGCCCUGCUUUUGUGGGGUGCUCGAGUGGCGAACGGGUGAGUAACACGUGAGUAACCUGCCCUUGACUUUGGGAUAACUUCAGGAAACUGGGGCUAAUACCGGAUAGGAGCUCCUGCUGCAUGGUGGGGGUUGGAAAGUUUCGGCGGUUGGGGAUGGACUCGCGGCUUAUCAGCUUGUUGGUGGGGUAGUUGCUUACCAAGGCUUUGACGGGUAGCCGGCCUGAGAGGGUGACCGGCGACAUGGGGACUGAGAGACGGCCCAGACGCCUACGGGAGGCAGCAGGGGGGAAUAUUGCACAAUGGGCGGAAGCCUGAUGCAGAAACGCCGCGUGCGGGAUGACGGCCUUCGGGUUGUAAACCGCUUUCGCCUGUGACGAAGCGGGAGUGACGGUAAUGGGUAAAGAAGCACCGGCUAACUACGUG
rnacentral:rRNA from 1 species